GACGAACGCUGGCGGCGUGCUUAACACAUGCAAGUCGAACGCCCCGCAAGGGGAGUGGCAGACGGGUGAGUAACGCGUGGGAAUCUACCCAACUCUACGGAAUAACUCAGGGAAACUUGUGCUAAUACCGUAUACGCCCUUCGGGGAAAGAUUUAUCGGAGUUGGAUGAGCCCGCGUUGGAUUAGCUAGUUGGUGGGGUAAAGGCCUACCAAGGCGACGAUCCAUAGCUGGUCUGAGAGGAUGAUCAGCCACAUUGGGACUGAGACACGGCCCAA
rnacentral:rRNA from 1 species